rnacentral:lncRNA from 1 species
GGGUGUUUUGAAUGAAAAUUUUAAACACCUAACCCUUCCACUGUGCCACCAAAACCCAACAGCUCCUAGACCAGCCCUUUUAAAUGGUCUCCUUUAAGCUGACUUGGUGAAGCCAGUGGGAGGAUCAUGAUAUGCUGGUUCAUCUAACCUCCUCUUCUAAAUCAAUUAAAUCCUCUAAAAUUAUUAGGUCCUUAAAAUAAAAUAGUUAUGGUGAUAACUAGAUCAUAGCC